UAUUAUAUCAAUCUUUAGGAUAGCAUCACGAUAUAUGUUGAUCACGACGCUGGUAUGCAGAGGACAUUUAACACUGGUGUCAACGAGGAUGGCAGCACGUUUCCUUAUACGAUUAUCACUAACUAUACCACGCACACAAAUUAUUUCAUAAAGGACGAGGGUCGUAUCUGCAAAUCCUACGGUUCCUUUCCGGAGACAUUUCUCUGUGUUCCAAUUCGACUUUUACAGAGGAAGGUGUGUACGUAGGACGUCACGUGAUCGGAAGUUACGAGAACAACUUUAGUAUCGACAUGUGGAAAAUUAAUCCAGGUCAAUCAGAUGAUUGGAUGUCUUUUACCUCCAACGAUUGUCUCCCCUUCAUGAGGACACUUACAGAAUCAAACUCGACCAGUCCAAGCCAGUCCAUAUACACUUACAGUAACGUGACAGUGGGAGUACCAGACGAUAUAUUCAGCCUCCCGCCGUCAUGUCUACCUCAUUAAAUAUAUAGGUAUCAAACACUUGUAACACUUACUUACAUUGUAUGUGAUAACACAUGUAGAAAUAUAACAGCCAUAUUGAUUUGUACGAAACGUAUAUAUAUGUGCAUGUUUCUUCUAUCAUUUUUUUUCGAUAUUGUUUGUCAUUUUAUCAUAUUUACAACAACAACAACAACAACAACAACAACAACAUUUAACCCCCUUUUUUUCUUUUAAAUUGACAUUAAUGUGUUUUUUCAUAUGAGGACAUAUUUAAUCCGGCGAAAUAAUUUCAAUAACAGCACAUCAAAUUUAACCCGAUCAUCUACGACAAUUUAUUUCGUAACUUCGACAGUUUAUUGAUAAAAACAUCAUAAAAGCAGUCCUCCUUUUUAUUCAGGAAACAAAUCAUGUAACCCUUUCUACAUAUGGAAUACAGUACUACUAGAUUCUAUCAAAUCCUAAUAUCAUGUUGUCCUUUCAUGUAUUAAUUUGUCAUUGACCAGACUUGUGCUUUUAUUUAACGAAAUGAAAUCUAUGUUAUGCUUCAAUACAAAAUUAAAGUUUGAAUAAAAAAAAAUAGAAUCUAACGACAUAGUUUACAUUAUCAUUAAAAUCAAAAUAUUAAAAUGUUUACCACGUAUUU